rnacentral:rRNA from 1 species
CAGCCGCCGCGGUAAUACAGAGGGUGCGAGCGUUAAUCGGAUUUACUGGGCGUAAAGCGUGCGCAGGCGGUUAUAUAAGACAGAUGUGAAAUCCCCGGGCUCAACCUGGGAACUGCAUUUGUGACUGUAUAGCUAGAGUACGGCAGAGGGGGAUGGAAUUCCGCGUGUAGCAGUGAAAUGCGUAGAUAUGCGGAGGAACACCGAUGGCGAAGGCAAUCCCCUGGGCCUGUACUGACGCUCAUGCACGAAAGCGUGGGGAGCAAACAGGAUUAGAUACCCGAGUAGUCCCUGUCUCUUAUAC